UGUGCAGCAGGAGUCUAGAAGUAAUGGCAGCCUUAUCAUUUUGGGAAACCACAGUUGAGGACAACGAGCUGGGUGGCUAAGGGGGAAGGUCAAUAACGUCCAGCCAGCUGAAAACUGAGUGGCAGAAAGCUGAGGCUGGUAACCUGGGCUAGCCACUCUUAGAAAGCCAGUUGAUGGACACAAGGCAAGCUGUAAACAUCCUUAGCCUUGUGUAGAGUCCUCCAAGACUCCACCAGUCCUCCGAAGCUCAAGGCUCCUCUGAGAGGACCCAGGUUCAGUUCCUAGCACUCGUGGCGUCUUGUAACCAUCCAAUAACUCCAUGUCCAGGGGAUCCAGUGCCCUCUUCUGAACGGUAUGGGCACCAGACACACAGGGGGUACACAUUCACAUGUGCAAGCCGAACACUCAGGGCUGCAGGCAGUGUGGACAUCUGCCCUCACCCUCUAGCCAAGGGAAGCAUGCUGCUCAGUGGGCUUCCACUGCCCGUUCUCUAGUUUUCUAGUGGUCUCUGCUGUGGAUCCACAACACCCACUCCCCCUUCAUCGGUGCUGCCCUUCUUUAGGCAGAAGAUGGUGCGAUGGGGAGUGCUCUGUUAUGUCCCCAGACCAUCAGCUCAUCUGUCGCUCCCCAGUUUUGGUGUUCAACCUGUGACAUUUCAACCCACAGUGGCCAUGCCAAGACAGCCCAGGUUCACACUGGACUUAUAACCCUCCUCAAGUCAUUGGGUUCACCCUUCACUGGAAGUCACUGUGCCCUUGGAGAAAGAUAUCCAUGGCUUAUGCCUCCCCUAUCCCCACCUUACCCUGACUCUGCACACUGCAGCCGCCAGCAUCUUGUCUACAGAGUGCCCGGAGUUAGGGAGGGCUCUUAUACACUGUGUAGCACGUGGGCUUGAGAGAACUCACUGCCCUCUCAAAGGUUUGGGUGUGCUUAAAGCUGAUUGGUCUGUCAAGCCCCCUGACUCAAGAUAGCUGUAGGGUGUGGGUAAGGUGGGGGAAGGAGUGGUGGGACUUGGGAAAGAGCUAGCUCCUUAGAGCCACACAACAGGGUCUCUUCAGUUUAUGGAGCUUGACUUCUGAUUCAAAUGCUAGGUGAUUGGGCCCACGCUCAUGACUCAAAGAAACGGUGCUUGUUCCUGCCCCCAAAUGGGAGAUACUCAAGUGAAUUCUUUGUCAAAGGCGACAAAGUCACUUUACAGAACUACCAUAUGAUGGUUGCUGGCCACUCCCACCAACAGCUAUGGCAACGGCUCCCUUGCUAAUCAAGAAUCAAGCCCUGGGCUUGUGCUGUAAAACCAAGACACUCUGCCAAAAGAGCUCACAAAAUCUUACAGUAAUAUCGAAAUUUUACAACAAAUUGUUUCUCUCGCAGCUUGCAGGCUGGGUCAAUAAACCCUGUGCCCUGGAAUGCACGGCUUUCACAUAAAAUGCUCUUGGAGUAUGAUUUGUUUCUAACUAACAGAAUUGUCAAGUGGAGGGAUUUUUUUUUCUGAUGUAAUUGAGACUCCAAAUUAGCUCAUUUUCAGCUAGUUGACUCCGUCAGAUGAAGAUGAAUGCCUUUUGAAGGAGAGAUGACCUCCCCCCUCCCAUCAGAGGUUCUUCUUUCUGACUUGAUGAUGUAAUCAGUCUUGUUGCAGAAGCCCACAUGGCAACUGUCAGGUAGUUUCUAGGAUCUGUAGAAACACGUAGGUAGGUCAUGAGGUCAGCCUCCUGUUGACAGUCAGUCAUGUGUUGGUGACUCCAGCCAUGCAGGCAUGGGAAAAUGAAGUAUGCCAACAUUGCUCAACAAGCACAGAAGAAAAGUCUUUCCAAGUCAACCCUCCAGAUGACAAUGCAGCCCAGCCAUUGUCUUUAUUGUGAUUUGUGAUAUCUGAGCAGAGGGUCAUUCCUGGAUUCCUGACCCCCAAAGAACUUAGGGGCAAAUAGUGCUGUAGACUUUGUCCUCGGUUCUUUUACAAAUAUUUCAACCCCCCAAAUCACAUUCUUAAAGAUGCAUAAAUGAUAUUAAGAUUUCUGAGUCAACACUGCAUAUUAGGGAAGAAGGUAUCGUCAUCAGAAACUUUGACAAAAUUUCUGAAAGCUCAAAAAUAAAAAAAUGAAAAAUUAGGUUAAGCAUGGUAUAUGCCUUUAGUCUUAGCACUUGGGAGGCAGAUGCAAGGGAAUCUCUGUAAGCCUGAGGCCAGCUUGGACUACAACUAAAAUUCCAAGCCAGCCAAAUAUACAAAAUACAAUGUAUCUAAAAGAAAAUUAACUGUGUGUGUGGUGUGUGUGUGUGUGUGUGUCCUAAGUUAACAUCUGGAAAUAGAUGAUGCUUUCUUAGAAAAUCUGGGUUUUGCUUAUUUGUUUGGAAAAAGUACUUUGACAGACUACUAAAUUUUUCUGCAUUUCAAAAAUUUAGAGGUGUGACAGUUGUUUUCAUUAGUUCAGUGUUAUUAUUCCAGUAAUAUGUUAUUUACCCUCUUUUUUAUCCAAAAGUACCACACCAUAUAUGCUGUCGUGUCUUGUUUUUCUCAUUAAAACAAUACAUCUUGGAGGUCUCUCUGUAUCCAUA